UACGGGGGGGGGUAAGCGUUGUUCGGAAUUACUGGGCGUAAAGGGCUCGUAGGCGGCCAACUAAGUCAUACGUGAAAUCCCUCAGCUUAACUGGGGGAACUGCGUGUGAUACUGGAUGGCUUGAAUCCGGGAGAGGGAUGCGGAAUUCCAGGUGUAGCGGUGAAAUGCGUAGAUAUCUGGAGGAACACCGGUGGCGAAGGCGGCAUCCUGGACCGGUAUUGACGCUGAGGCGCGAAAGCCAGGGGAGCAAAGCGGG
rnacentral:rRNA from 1 species